CAAUAGCGUAUAUUUAAGUUGUUGCAGUUAAAAAGCUCGUAGUUGGAUUUCGGGUGGGAAUGGCCGGUCCGCCGUUUCGGUGUGCACUUGCUACGCCCACCUUGCUGCCGGGGACGUGCUCUUGAGUUCACGCUCGGGACACGGAGUCGGCGAGGUUACUUUGAGUAAAUUAGAGUGUUCAAAGCAGGCCUACGCUCUGAAUACAUUAGCAUGGAAUAACACGAUGGGACUCUGGCCUAUCUUGUUGGUCUGUAGGACCGGAGUAAUGAUUAAGAGGGACAGUCGGGGGCAUUCGUAUUUCAUUGUCAGAGGUGAAAUUCUUGGAUUUAUGAAAGACGAACUACUGCGAAAGCAUUUGCCAAGGAUGUUUUCAUUAA
rnacentral:rRNA from 1 species